ACAUGUGAGGAUGAGCUGGCUGCAACAUCUGUCUCCCACUGAUCACCAGGGUUAAUCUGGCUGAUCUGGCUUGCUAGAUGGGUGUCCCCUUCUUCCCUUUCCCCUCUAUGUGUGUCCCUCCAAAAGCUGUGUGCUCUGUGGAAGAGGACAACUUUCCCCGUUUCUAUGAACCAGCCUUUGGUCAAGGGUGUAUGAGUAGCUGCACUCCCCUACUAGAACCUCCAAACAAGCUCUCAAGGAGGAGACAUUUGAGUUGAGAUCCAAACAAUGAGAGGGCUAGAAGGCAGCUCAGUGAUGGAGCGCUUGCGU
rnacentral:snRNA from 1 species